AUUGAACGCUGGCGGAAUGCUUUACACAUGCAAGUCGAGCGGCAGCGCGGGGCAACCUGGCGGCGAGCGGCGAACGGGUGAGUAAUGCAUCGGAACGUACCCCGUCGUGGGGGAUAACUACCCGAAAGGGUAGCUAAUACCGCAUAAGACCACGGAGUCUCCGGACGCUGUGGGAAAAGGUGGCCUCUUCUUGAAAGCUACCACCGAAGGAUGAGCCUGCGUCCCAUCAGCUAGUUGGUAAGGUAAUGGCUUACCAAGGCGAAGACGGGUAGCUGGUUUGAGAGAAUGAUCAGCCACACUGGCACUGGAACACGGGCCAGACUCCUACGGGAGGCAGCAGUGAGGAAUAUUGGGCAAUGGGCGAAAGCCUGACCCAGCCACGCCGCGUGAGUGAUGAAGGCCCUCGGGUCGUAAAGCUCUUUCAGCAGGAACGACACGGUGGUCCCUAAUACGGACUACUAAUGACGGUACCUGAAGAAGAAGCACCGGCUAACUACGUGCCAGCAG
rnacentral:rRNA from 1 species